AUUUGUUCUUGCCUUGGGAAAAUACCAAACAACUCUUCACUCCCUAGAAUAGCCUGCUUUUAUAUUUAAAGAACAAAAACCAAGAAGAAUGACGAGAAGCAGCACUGAGCGUGCCACAUGGGAAGGAGGGACUUCAAGGACCACCGUUUCAGUGGAGACAUGGCAGAUUUCAAGUGAAGACCUGUAAACCCCCUGCCUCCCCGCCCCUCCCCAGCUGGGGCUUGUUCCCCAUCCAUGAGGCUGCAGAGCACCCACCUAUGCGCUGCUCUGUCGUGUUCACCGAGCUGACCCGGAGCAGGGGCUUUGGGAC